CAGAACACCCGGGUCGCUAGAUAUAAUUAAUUAAUCUUUGAGGUUGAAUGUUUAGUAUUUUCCCCGAAAAGACUCGCAAAAAGGACGGUUCGGCGUCGUUCUAUUCAUUCUAAAUUUUUUUUGAAGCAGCAGCGAUGGACGCCGACGGAGAAACCAUGGAGGAGGCAGCUCCGGCGACGAGGACGAGAGAGAAGCAGAGGAGAAUCGGAAAGAAAAGUUGUUAGCGUCAACACAGUCUCUUCAACCUAACUUUAAUCGAUCUAACGUCACCGAGCAUUACUACAGGAGCUACACAAGAGACGUAUGCAAAUAAAAGCCAAUUAAAAUAUAUCCAAAAGAAACCUAAAGCGAGGGGGAAUUCUCAGAGUGGGGCAGCUGAUGGCGUAAGCUCUAAGAAAUUGAAAGAAUCUUCUACCUUAGAAGAACUUCAUCAUCAUCAUUAUCAUCAUAAGACAGAAGUCACAGUACCAAAGAGGCCACAAAAGCUGUAUCCUGUAUGGGGGCUAGAUUCCAAGGAAAGGUGGGAAAGGAAAGCCAACAUGUAUUGGUUGAUGAAUCGAUUUCUCAUUAUUGAUUUACUUAGUCCAUUGUACAAGUUAUUCAAAGAGCAUGAA